UUUUUAAUACUGCAGGGAAGUGAGAAUAUCAGGGCAGUUUGAGACAGUGCAGCGUUGGUCAGAUCACUGGAUUGUGAGUUCUCAGUGUUGCCGAGGGAGCCAGAAAGAACAUGACCUCAGGUCUGGAUUGUAGUGCACAAACGAAGCUGAAGAUUGCUGAACAGCCAAACAGGCUGGCCUCAAGUGACCUCCUGCCUCGGCCUCCCCCAA